UACGAAGGGGGCUAGCGUUGCUCGGAAUCACUGGGCGUAAAGGGUGCGUAGGCGGGUCUUUAAGUCAGGGGUGAAAUCCUGGAGCUCAACUCCAGAACUGCCUUUGAUACUGAGGAUCUUGAGUUCGGGAGAGGUGAGUGGAACUGCGAGUGUAGAGGUGAAAUUCGUAGAUAUUACCAGGAACACCAAUGGCGAAGGCAGCUUGCUGGGCUUCUUCUGACACUGAGGUACGAAAGCGUGGGGAGCGAACAGG
rnacentral:rRNA from 1 species